GCGCCCAUAGCUCAGCUGGAUAGAGCAGCUGCCUUCUAAGCAGCGGGUCAGAGGUUCGAAUCCUCUUGGGCGUA
rnacentral:tRNA from 2 species